AGGAACUUAAUCAUCUUGUCAGGAUUCCAUGCCCUUUUCUCUUGAGCUGAUUUACUGCUUAAUAUCUGAUGGGUAAUGCCUUAUUUUGGUUGAAAUUUAUAUUGUUUUAUCACACCAUUGGCAAUUCUGUACCAAUAACAGGAAUUUACUUUGCAGGAUAUAUAUCUGUGACAUUUGUUCUUAUUGGGGUGUCAAUGCUGGCGAUGAAAAGAUUAUUAAUGCUCUUAUUGGGGUGUCAGUGUUGGAAGCUGCUCAUGAGAAAUAUAACUUGAAGGUCCUCUGCAGUGCUACUUUUCUUUUACUAAUUUUGGUUUUAAUUAAGAACAUUAGGCAGUGAUUACGCGCUUGUACUUGACUUCAUGUGCUUCCUUGGACUUGAUAUCUCCUGUUUUAACUGUGAGAGUAAUUAGUCGCAUUAUAUAUCACAAGGAAUUCUACUAACCAUGUAAAAGGCUUAAUGACAAAUUGAGUAUAGAUCUAUCUGAAUUGUUUUGGACACUGAAGCAGUUUCUAAGGUUACAUCUUCACAAUCAUCAGUCAUAUCAAAGACAGGUUUCCUGACAACUAGAUACUUUAACUUUUAUAGAUUAUAUAUCAUGGUCUUAGAGAAAACUUCAACAAUUAUAUCUUUUCGUCAUGGAUAUUUUUGUCCUUCUUUCAUCUGCUUGGCUGAAAAUCAUUUGUAGUUGUGUAAACUGCUUGAUUUUGCCCCUUUUCUUGCGAAAAAUGGUUUGCUUGCAGAAUCUACCCAUUAUUAAGAAAAUGUCUUAUGUUGAUAGGUAAGUUCAAAAUUAGGUAGAGAUAUAUCAUUGCUACCUUUCCCUCCUUGUACACCUCCUUUGAUUUUGCAUCAUGUUACAAUUUUUUUUUUAAAUUUUGUAGCAUGUUGACUUAUACAAUACAAGACAUACUUACCUAAAAUUUGAUACACAGGAGCUAAUUUUGUGACCUACAGAGGAGCUAAUUCUGUAGCAUGAUCUACGAUUUCUGCUUCAAAGCUCAACUUGUCGAGUCAACAAAUGUUCACUUUCAGGUAUAUGUCUGUUCAAUGUGGAGCCUCUGUUCGCCUCUUCCAAAAGUUUGCUUGAUCGCGCCCGCGCCAUGGCCGCCGUGCUCCUUUUUUCUCUGCCCGUCAACCAGAUCGGCCGAUGAGGUGGAUUGCCUGGAGGCGGUGGACCAUGGAGGAAAGGAGGCCAUCCAUGGUGCACGCAUCCCCCACACUCGCUCGUCUUUUCCUCCUCCGCUCCACGGACACCGUGUGCUCGGGCAUGGCCGCCGCCACGCCCCCGCUCCCGCUGACCUUCAUCAAAAGCGGAUAACUGAGGGCUCUUCUGUUAUCAAGCUGCUUCUUUUUUGUGCCAAUAGUUGCAAGUUAAUUUAUUAAUAGUUGGAUACGGGCAUAUCUCAGAUUUUGAGAUUGGACAAAAUAAUGAAUUAAAUGGUAACUAGAGGAAAACAAUUGCUCCUGAUACAUCAUAUCUGUAUGAUAUUGUUGCUAUAAGUCUCAGGAGGCAUGCAUACCGAGGCCUGUACACCACAUAAACAUUAGUCAUUUAGUUUUCUUUCUUCGGAGUGCUAUUUCUCUGUUUCUUUCCUAAUAGUGGAACAAAAUUACCAUUUCUUGCGUGUCAUCUCACAAGGAGGAUGUCGGGCUGCCCAUUUUAGUGCACCAUGCCACAAGUUCCAGAAAAUUAUUUUGUCUCCUGAUUAAUGAUUUUGCGACUACUUUCAUUUAACAAGGCUUAUGUGUGCAUAAGUUUGUUACUGAAUCUGGGAGAUGUAGCUAAGUAUAUAAAAAAUGUGCUUCUUUGCAUUAGGCAGAUGGAACUAUUCAGUUUAUACUUGUUGUUAAUCUUCUGUGUAUUGUGUAUGGUGCAUUCCUUAUUUGGUUUACACACCACAGUGGUAACUUGCAUUUUGUCAAGGAGGUUUGGUUCUAUUUUUUUUUUUGUGAAAACAUUAGUUCUCGACUUCAAUGCCAUCUUUCGUUGUUACAGGUAUAAAGCCUUGUUUUACUAUCCUCAGGAUAAACAUGUUUCAGAUACUAAACAAUGGAACAUCCAUGCCCUUUUGUGAUGUUAACCAUGUUAACCAUCUUACGCCAGGGCUGACGAGGAAGAGGACCGGCGGAGUGGGGUUCGACAAGGUGGCGGUGGUUACUUUGUAUCUCCCGUUGGUUUGUGGUUACGUAAUUCCCAUAGCUGUAACUUUUGCACAAUCAUAAGGCCUUUAUAGAAUGCUAAAAGCUUCAGACCUUUGCAUCGGUACUUCCGCUGAACUGAACUUCUGUAGAAUACAUCAACCAAAGCUUACUCUUAGAUAUUUAGUUUAAGUUAAAUUUGCUCCGAGUAAUAAAGAAUAUUGGGCCUCUACAAGAAAAGUAAGAAUCUGAAUCCGUAAGUAAUUAUAACCACUCAAGUGUGAUCUUCUCGUGUUGCUUAAAUUUCUAGCUAAGAUAUCUUUUUGAUGCAGAUUGCCAGGUUCUGUUCUCACAUAAAACACCCAGUUUUGCUAGAAGCUCUGCUUACUUUGAUGUACAUCUCUUUUUCUGAAAAAUUCACUAACAGUUUGUUUUGCUGAACAUCUUAGGUCAACUGGAUUCCAUCUCAAUUUAUGUAAAUCUCUUUCCUAAAAAGGUCAGUGACAAGGUGGUGUGAAGUGAGGAGACGUAGAGAUGGAUGAGGACGAUGGCAGUAAGUAGUAGCAGCUCGACGGCAGGAAGCAGCAGCUCGCCCUCUCCUAGGUCUUCAUCUCUGCCCUUAGUCUACCUAUACUUAGCUUCUUUGCUCCCACUCCUGUUCCUCCCUCUUUCUUAUAUAGGUUUCCAUCUAAUGGCAGCUCUCUCUCCCUUUUCCAUCUCUGUUUUGUAGAUAGCAGAGCAACCUAUCAUAUAUACACACUGAAAUUGAUUCUGUUGUAAGCUUAUUCAGAUUUUAUUUAUUUCUUAUUGAUUCAUCAAGGAAUGGUUGUAAAUAUUUCAUAUGACUACAUCAAAGAGAGCAAGAAAUCCUGAUG
rnacentral:lncRNA from 1 species